rnacentral:rRNA from 1 species
AUCAACGCUGGCGGCGUGCCUAACACAUGCAAGUCGAACGCGAAAGCCGGCUUCGGCCGGUGAGUAGAGUGGCAGACGGGUGAGUAACGCGUGGGUGAUCUACCCUGAAGUGGGGGAUAACUUCGCGAAAGCGGAGCUAAUACCGCAUGAGCCUGUGCUUUCGGUAGUACAGGGAAAGGAUUUAUUCGUUUCAGGAGGGGCCCGCGUCCGAUUAGUUAGUAGGUGAGGUAAGAGCUCACCUAGACAGCGAUCGGUAACCGGUCUGAGAGGACGGACGGUCACACUGGGACUGAGACACGGCCCAGACUCCUACGGGAGGCAGCAGUGGGGAAUUUUGCGCAAUGGGGGAAACCCUGACGCAGCAACGCCGCGUGGAGGAAGAAGGUUUUCGAAUCGUAAACUCCUGUCCGGAGGGAAGAAAAAAAUGACGGUACCUCUGGAGGAAGCUCCGGCUAACUCUGUGCCAGCAGCCGCGGUAAUACAGAGGGAGCAAGCGGUGUUCGGAAUUACUGGGCGUAAAGCGCGCGCAGGCGGCCUGGGAAGUCUUGGGUGAAAGCCCCCAGCUCAACUGGGGAAUGGCCUGAGAAACCACUAGGCUGGAGCGCUGGAGAGGGAAGCGGAAUUCCCGGUGGAGCGGUGAAAUGCGUAGAUAUCGGGAGGAACACCAGAGGCGAAGGCGGCUUCCUGGACAGACACUGACGCUGAGGCGCGAAAGCUAGGGGAGCAAACGGGAUUAGAUACCCCGGUAGUCCUGGCUGUAAACGAUGAACACUUGGUGUGGCGGGGUAUCGACCCCUGCCGUGCCGAAGCUAACGCAUUAAGUGUUCCGCCUGGGGAGUACGGCCGCAAGGCUGAAACUCAAAGGAAUUGACGGGGGCCCGCACAAGCGGUGGAGCAUGUGGUUUAAUUCGACGCAACGCGAAGAACCUUACCGGGGUUUAAACUGUAUCGGCGAUCCAUAGAGAUGUAGGGUUCCUUUCGGGGACUGAUACAGAGGUGCUGCAUGGCUGUCGUCAGCUCGUGUCGUGAGAUGUUGGGUUAAGUCCCGCAACGAGCGCAACCCUUGUCUGUAGUUGCCAUCAGGUUAAGCUGAGCACUCUACGGAGACUGUCGGCGAAAAGCCGGAGGAAGGUGGGGAUGACGUCAAGUCCUCAUGGCCUUUAUGUCCCGGGCUACACACGUGCUACAAUGGGCGGAACAAAGGGUUGCCAACUCGCGAGAGUGAGCCAAUCCCAUAAAUCCGCUCUCAGUUCGGAUUGCAGUCUGCAACUCGACUGCAUGAAGUUGGAAUCGCUAGUAAUCGUGGAUCAGCAUGCCACGGUGAAUACGUUCCCGGGCCUUGUACACACCGCCCGUCACAUCACGAAAGUGGGUUGUACUAGAAGUCGCCGGCCUAACCUUCGGGAGGGGGAGGCGUCGACGGUGUGAUCCAUGAUUGGGGUG